rnacentral:lncRNA from 13 species
AGUCACACACUGUCAUUAACUACUGUUCAGUCACAUAGUCACAUACUGUCACUAACUACUGUUCAAUCACAUAGUCACAUACUGUCACUAACUACUGUUCAGUCACAUAGUCACAUACUGUCACUAACUACUGUUCAAUCACAUAGUCACAUACUGUCACUAACUACUGUUCAAUCACAUAGACUGUCACUAACUACUGUUCAAUCACACAGACAUACACUGUCAUUAACUACUGUUCAAUCACAGACACACAUACUGUCACUAACUACUGUUCAAUCACAGACACACAGACUGACACUAACUACUGUUCAAUCACAGACACACAGACUGACACAGACUGUCAUUAACCUGUUAGAUCUCUAGGGGCGCUAUUUCAUUUUUGGAUAAAAAACGUUCCCGUUUUAAGCGCGAUAUUUUGUCACGAAAAGAUGCUCGACUAUGCAUAUUCUUUUGGAAAGAAAACACUCUGAAGUUUCAGAAUCUGCAAAGAUUUUGUCUGUAAGUGCCCCAGAACUCAUUCUACAGGCGAAACCAAGAUGAUGCAUCAACCAGGAAUUAGCAGAAUUUCUGAAGCUCUGUUUUCCAUUGUCUCCUUAUAUGGCUGUGAUUGCGCAAGGAAUGAGCCUACACUUUCUGUCGUUCGCCCAAGGUCUUAGCAGCAUUGUGACGUAUUUGUAGGCAUAUCAUUGGAAGAUUGACCAUUAGAGACUACAUUUUCCAAGUGUCCGCCUGGUGUCCUGCGUGGAAUUCGGUGCGGAAUUGCCAGCUGCUCGUACUUUUCCAUUUGAUAUAGGGGAGAAACCAUGUGUCCAAGAACGAUGUAUCAAUGAAGAGAUAUGUGAAAAACACCUUGAUGAUUGAUUCUAAACAACGUUUGCCAUGUUUUCAGUCGAUAUUAUGGAGUUAAUUUGGAAAAAAGUUCGCGUUUUGAGGACUGAAUUUUCGGAUUUUUUUUGGUAGCCAAAUGUGAUGUAUAAAACGGAGCUAUUUCUAAUACACAAAGAAUCUUUUUGGAAAAACUGAGCAUCUGCUAUCUAACUGAGAGUAUCCUCAUUGAAAACAUCAGAAGUUCUUCAAAGGUAAAUGAUUUUAUUUGAAGGCUUUUAUGUUUUUGUUGAAAUGUUGCGUGCUGGAUGCUAACGCUAAUGCUAACGCUAAAUGCUAACG